rnacentral:lncRNA from 1 species
CAUGUUCAUUUUUCAGAGUGUAAGCAAAGAAAAAGAAUGACAAAACGGCUAGACGUUUUAGCCACAUGGGAUAUUACUAGUUAUGGCCAGCCUUUGUAAAAUCAAUGGUCCCCUUUCUCCUUAAUUGAGCAUAUAUAUAUAUUACAUAUAUGGGUCGAUUUUCUUAACUGUCCUAGACCAGAUUUCUUUUCUCCUUCACUUUCUCAGACAGGAACUGAAAAUUAAAUAUCCCCAAACAAUCCCUCUCUAAUUUAAUAACCCACCCCAAAAUUCUUCUUUUAUUUUUGAAGAAAGAAUUUGAAGAAAGAAUGAACGUUAGAUCCUAAUCAUCAACUGCGAAUUUGAAGCACACGACUCGAUCCGGCCGAUUUUGAAGAGCAUAUAGAUACGCGAGCACCCACACACACGUAGUCUCCCCUGUUUUGAAAAUUGAAGACCGUCCUUUUGGAAACAGAGGAGGCCGGCCACUAUAAAGAACACCAAAGUCCAUACACAAAAGUACGCGGAAGAAUGUGUUAAAUUCAAAGCUGUGAGCUUUCCCCCACAACCCAAAAAUCUUUACCUCUAUAAAACCCUCCAUCACUUCCCCCGACCCCCCCUCUCAUUUCCCACCCCC